rnacentral:lncRNA from 1 species
AUCAUUUGAGUUUUUUUAUUUUUUAUUUUAUUUUUAAAGAGCAUAAAAAUGUGCCCAUUUUUUUCUUUCCUCAUCCUUUCCUAUGAUCACCUCUAGUCUUGCAUAAGCUAAUCCUACAUCAGAAAAACAACGAAUUUAUUCUUGACCAUGAAUAACAAGCUCCUAUAUAUAACAAUUUUUAUGUUGAAAUUGAAGAAUAAUUGUCAAUUAUACAGAAAUACAAGUAUAGCAGAUAAGGUAACAUAAUUUACUAUUUAUUGUAGCUAAUUCUGUAUUUAUCAAUGCGUUUAUUAGUCACAAUAUUUAAAUGCGAUGUAUAAGUUUUCGGUUGUUAUUUUUAACUGCAGGCAUAAUACCGGUCGAAUCGAAGAAAAUGAUUAAGUCGAAAAUUUUAGUUUUUCGAUUUUUUCGAUAUAUUCGAUUUGUUUGCGAUCUAUAUCUUUAAAAAGUUUGGUGAUAGGUUUUAAGGGUUCGAUUUUCGGUUAAACCAAAGUUUAUUCCCGUCCUUUGAACUCUUAAUCCCUUACCAUGUUACUCUUUACUUAGCCUUAAAAGCCCAAAAAGAAAUUAACUACCUCAAAUAAAAAUUACUUGUUACUUUUCAAAUGACUGAAAACUACAAAUCAUGCCAGAUUAGUGUCUGUUAUGACAAAGUUAAAAUAGGAAGAUUUAGACUUUUAGCUUCAAAGAUUUUUUGUUUUUGUAAUAUAGAAUAAUUUUUCUUGCAUAAAGAUUCUUACCUAUUUCGUGUAUUUGAUGGGAUUUUUUAAAAAUUUUUUGUUUCUUUCUGUCAACAAGAAAUUUAUUGUUGUUGUUUCGUAGGAGUACCAAUUUUGCCCUGGCUUAAAAUCGAAACCCGAACCGAUUAAAUCGAAGCGAACAUAAACAAACCGAAGUUAUUAUGGUUCGGAUUUGGUAAUUAAAAUUACAAAUUGAAAAUUAAAUAAAUCAAACUUCUACAAGACCGAAUCGAAAUCGACCGAUGUCCAUCCUAGUUAUCUUUCUUUCCG